rnacentral:rRNA from 1 species
CUACGGGGGGCACCAGCGAGGAAUAUUGCACAAUGGGGGGAACCCCGAUGCAGCAACGCCGCGUGGAGGAUGACGCAUUUCGGUGUGUAAACUCCUUUUAUAUGUCAAGAAAAUGACGGUGGCAUAUGAAUAAGCACCGGCUAACUCCGUGCCAGCAGCCGCGGUAAUACGGAGGGUGCAAGCGUUACUCGGAAUCACUGGGCGUAAAGGACGCGUAGGCGGGUUGGAAAGUCAGGUGUGAAAUCCUACAGCUUAACUGUAAAACUGCACUUGAAACUUCUAAUCUAGAGUAUGGGAGGGGGAGAUGGAAUUAGUGGUGUAGGGGUAAAAUCCGUAGAUAUCACUAGGAAUACCUAAAGCGAAGGCGAUCUCCUGGAACAUUACUGACGCUAAGGCGUGAAAGCGUGGGGAGCAAACAGGAUUAGAUACCCGUGUAGUC